AGAGUUUGAUCAUGGCUCAGAUUGAACGCUGGCGGAAUGCUUUACACAUGCAAGUCGAACGGCAGCACGGGUGCUUGCACCUGGUGGCGAGUGGCGAACGGGUGAGUAAUGCGUCGGAACGUACCGAGUAAUGGGGGAUAACGCGGCGAAAGUCGCGCUAAUACCGCAUACGCCCUGAGGGGGAAAGUGGGGGAUCGCAAGGCCUCACGUUAUUCGAGCGGCCGACGUCUGAUUAGCUAGUUGGUGGGGUAAAGGCCUACCAAGGCGACGAUCAGUAGCGGGUCUGAGAGGAUGAUCCGUCACACUGGGACUGAGACACGGCCCAGACUCCUACGGGAGGCAGCAGUGGGGAAUUUUGGACAAUGGGGGCAACCCUGAUCCAGCCAUUCCGCGUGAGUGAAGAAGGCCUUCGGGUUGUAAAGCUCUUUCAGCUGGAACGAAACGGUACAGGUUAAUACCCUGUGCUAAUGACGGUACCGGCAGAAGAAGCACCGGCUAACUACGUGCCAGCAGCCGCGGUAAUACGUAGGGUGCGAGCGUUAAUCGGAAUUACUGGGCGUAAAGCGUGCGCAGGCGGAUUGUUAAGCAAGAUGUGAAAUCCCCGGGCUUAACCUGGGAAUGGCAUUUUGAACUGGCAGUCUAGAGUGCGUCAGAGGGGGGUGGAAUUCCACGUGUAGCAGUGAAAUGCGUAAAGAUGUGGAGGAACACCAAUGGCGAAGGCAGCCCCCUGGGAUGACACUGACGCUCAUGUACGAAAGCGUGGGUAGCAAACAGGAUUAGAUACCCUGGUAGUCCACGCCCUAAACGAUGUCAACUGGUUGUUGGGGGGAGUGAAAUCCCUUAGUAACGAAGCUAACGCGUGAAGUUGACCGCCUGGGGAGUACGGUCGCAAGAUUAAAACUCAAA
rnacentral:rRNA from 1 species